CCUACGGGUGGCUGCAGUGAGGAAUAUUGGUCAAUGGGCGCGAGCCUGAACCAGCCAAGUCGCGUGAGGGAAGACGGUCCUAUGGAUGGUAAACGUCUUUGGUCGGGGAGCAAAAGACGCCACGCGUGGCGUUCCGAGAGUACCCGAAGAAAAAGCAUAGGCUAACCCCGCGCCAGCAGCCGCGGUAAGACGGAGGAUGCGAGCGUUACCCGGAUCUAUUGGGUUAAAAGUGUGCGCAGGCGGAAGAUCAAGUCAGCGGUAAAAUUGAGAGGCUCAACCUCUGCGAGCCGUUGAAACUGGUUUUCUUGAGUGAGUGAGAGGUAUGCGGAAUGCGUGGUGUAGCGGUGAAAUGCAUAGAUAUCACGCAGAACUCCGAUUGCGAAGGCAGCAUACCGGCGCUCAACUGACGCUCAUGCACGAAAGUGUGGGUAGCGAACAGGAUUAGAUACCCUUGUAGUC
rnacentral:rRNA from 1 species